UCGCCCUGAGACAAGGCUGGGAUUGGCUCCAGCAGCAACACCCCGCAACCCCAUGGAAAGGGAUAAGCAGUGACAUGACAUGACUUUCCAGUCAGAGAGGCUUUUUCCAUUCCCUGUCUGACUUGAUGUUUUGUGUUGAUGUAGUUUCUGACUGUGACCACUGGAGGGCAGCAAACACGACAGUUCCUACAUGGGAUCUCUGUAAUAAGACAGCUUUUAUUAUUACGUCAUUUUAAUGCUGAUAUUACUGUUAUCAAUUUUAUUGUUUUCGUUUUCUCGAUCAAUUGUGAUCUAAUGUUGUCAGAUUUAUGUAGUGGAGUAAAAUGUACAAUAUUUCCAUCUGAGAUGUGUGAAACCAACAUUCUGACCAAAACUCACUUUAAUUCAGUCUGAGAAGUUAGUAGAUGAUUUACCUGUGUGAGCAACACACACACACACACAAACACACGCACACAGACCAGACACACACACACACACACACACACUGUCUUUCCCUCUAUUUACUGUAAAUAGAGGAUGGCACAUCACUAACUGUCUUACAGGUGUUUGCUGAGGUCAGACUCCAUUUUGAGCGCAGAACAGACAGAAGAAGACGGAGGAGGAGAACUAAAGUGUGAGGCAGACUGACUGGCUGUGAACUCUCAGAGACUCCCUGUGAAGUCGUCGCCUCAGCUCUGAAGUCCAACCCCUCACAUCUGACCCAUCUGGAUGUGUUUGGUUCUGGAGCUGCUGCAGGAGCUGCUUUCUGCCAGCAGGAGUCACCGUUUACAUUGUUUCCCCUCAAACUGAACUUAUGAUGAGAAUGAUUUGAAUUAUAAUUAAGUUCAACUGGAUUUAAAGAGAAAUAUAUUAGAUUUCUACAUUAAACGUCUAAAAAUUA